UGUGGCAAAUCCACAUGCAGCUAUUUGUGUAGGACUCUGACAGCUGUUACUCAGAAGCAUGGUUCCUGAGAACACAAAGAACGUUUCUUUGAACCAAGUGAAACCUUAGUCCCUGGAACAACUGAAGGGUGUUUCCUUGCCUUGCCGGCGCAGGCUCCCUGUGGGGUGGGUCAGAGUCAGCCGAGACCCGGCUUUUCUUUGUCUCUGGGUUUGUUACCGAGUCCCAAGGAGGACUCAGCCAAGGCCACCGCAUGUCAGUCAAAUGGUGGAGGAAGUGGGGGGUGGAGAACUGCUGUACACGGCAUCAGAGGUUAUGUUUCCUCUCUGCCAUGUCAAGAACAGCAGACCCCUGCUAGAAGUCUACGUGGAAAUAGUCAUUGAGGAUAAACAACUGUUCACAGCUGACAGCCAUCACGGAUCAGCCCCGACAAGCCUCCCUUCUCCUGCUUCCUGGAAUUGUAUUCCUUGGCUGGGAGAGGAGCAGAUGGUAAAUCGGAUGAGUCACCAGCUCCUCAACCUCCCACUUGCAGAAGCCAGCGAGAGCGGAGCUGCAGAAGCCAGUGAGAGUAGAGCUAACCGGACUCUGCCCUGAGGGAGAAGCAGAUACGGUGAGAGGAGCAUAGCAUCAUUUCUGUGGAUUCUUGCUAAAAAUGCAUAACCUCAAUCUAACCACAAGAAAACAUCAGACAAACCUGAAUGGAGAGAUGUUCCACAAAAUACAUGACCAGUACACUUCAGAGGCAUCAAAGAAAGACAAGGGAAUACUGAAGAACCAUCAGAGAUUGGAGGAGACUGAGAUGUAAGGACUAAAUGCAAUGAGGAAUCCUGGGUUGGAUCCUAAAACAGUAAAAGAAUAUUGGUUUUUUUGAAAAGGUGAAAUUUGAAUUAAUUUCAUAGAUUUUUGUUUUGCUAUUGUUCUUUAUUUUUUAUUGAGGUAAUAUUGGUUUCUAACAUUAUAUGAGUUUCAUGUGUGCAACAUUUCUACUUCUGUAUACACUGCAGUAUGCUCACCACCAAAGUUUAGCUUCCGUGUGUCAUCCUAUAGGUGAUCCCCUUUACCCAUUUUGCCCUUCCCCAACCCUUCCCCUUCCUCUCUGGUAAUCACUCCUUGGUUCUCUGUAUUUACAUGUUUAUUUUUGUUUGGUUUGUUUGUUCAUUUCUUUUUUUGUUUUUUGGACUCCACAAAUAAGUGAAAUCACACAGUACGUGUCUUUCUCCAUCUGACUUAUUUCACUUAGCCGGAUACCCUCAACAUCCAUCCAGUGUUGUCAUAAAUGGUUAACAGUUUAUCUUUUUUACGGCUGAGUGUUGAUUAUUAUAUUAAUCAGGUUGUACAUUACAUCCCUAGGUAUUUACUUAUAACUGGUAGUGUGUGUGUACCUUUUGACCACUGUCAUCCAAUUCCCCGUCCACUCUACCUGCUGCUUCUGGCAACCACAAAUGUGAUCUCUCUUUCUAUAAGUUUGUUUGUUUUUGAAAUAUAAUUGAUCUACUACACUGUUAGUUCCUAUUACACAACAUGGUGAUUUGAUAUUUCAAAUGAUGAUUACCAUGGUAAGUCUAGUUAUCGUAUGUCACCAUACAAAAAUAUUACAUAGUUAU